rnacentral:rRNA from 1 species
GUGAAGAAGGCCUUCGGGUUGUAAAGCACUUUCAGCGGGGAGGAAGGCGAUAAGGUUAAUAACCUUGGCGAUUGACGUUACCCGCAGAAGAAGCACCGGCUAACUCCGUGCCAGCAGCCGCGGUAAUACGGAGGGUGCAAGCGUUAAUCGGAAUUACUGGGCGUAAAGCGCACGCAGGCGGUCUGUCAAGUCGGAUGUGAAAUCCCCGGGCUCAACCUGGGAACUGCAUUCGAAACUGGCAGGCUAGAGUCUUGUAGAGGGGGGUAGAAUUCCAGGUGUAGCGGUGAAAUGCGUAGAGAUCUGGAGGAAUACCGGUGGCGAAGGCGGCCCCCUG